rnacentral:rRNA from 1 species
GACGAACCGUGCGAACGUUAUUCGGAAUCACUGGGCUUAAAGCGCGUGGAGGCGGGACGGCACGUCGGUCGCUGAAGGCCCCCGGCUCAACCGGGGAACGGGCGCCGAUACGACCGGCCUGGAGGGACGUAGGGGGACCUGGAACUUCCGGUGGAGCGGUGAAAUGCGUUGAGAUCGGAAGGAACGCCCGUGGCGAAAGCGAGGUCCUGGACGUCUGCUGACGCUGAGACGCGAAAGCCAGGGGAGCGAACGGG